rnacentral:Y_RNA from 1 species
GGCUGGUCUGAAGAAGGAAGUAAGUUAUCUCAAUUGAUGGCUCAUAGUCUGUUACAGAUUUGACUCAUUCUUCUACUUUUCCUCUCUUGUCACUACUGCACUUGACUAGUCUUAA